AUUGAACGCUGGCGGCAGGCUUAACACAUGCAAGUCGAGCGGGGGAGGUUGCUUCGGUAACUGACCUAGCGGCGGACGGGUGAGUAAUACUUAGGAAUCUGCCUAUUAAUGGGGGACAACAUCUCGAAAGGGAUGCUAAUACCGCAUACGCCCUACGGGGGAAAGCAGGGGAUCACUUGUGACAUUGCGUUAAUAGAUGAGCCUAAGUCGGAUUAGCUAGUUGGGGGGGUAAAGGCCUACCAAGGCGACGAUCUGUAGCGGGUCUGAGAGGAUGAUCCGCCACACUGGGACUGAGACACGGCCCAGACUCCUACGGGAGGCAGCAGUGGGGAAUAUUGGACAAUGGGGGGAACCCUGAUCCAGCCAUGCCGCGUGUGUGAAGAAGGCCUUAUGGUUGUAAAGCACUUUAAGCGAGGAGGAGGCUCUUUUGGUUAAUACCCAAGAUGAGUGGACGUUACUCGCAGAAUAAGCACCGGCUAACUCUGUGCCAGCCGCCGCAGUAACAC
rnacentral:rRNA from 1 species